rnacentral:tmRNA from 1 species
GGGGGUGAUCGGUUUCGACGGUGAUCGUCGAGCCAGGAGAAGCGGGCCGAGGACGCACGGUUAUCUCGUCAACGCUCCGUGCAAACCCAUAGGUGCCGAUAACAAGCGCACCGACUUCGCCCUCGCCGCCUGAGCGAGCCUCGAAGUCCGUCAGCCUGAGCUAGCUUCCGUCUCAGAUCCUGGCGUCAUCUAGGGAGCCACUGCUCGCAGCCUUCGUCACCGGGGCUGCGGGGACUUCAAGGUGACUGAGCCCGUCCACCGCUCGUCUGCGUGACGGUGGGGGCCGAGAAAGGCAGAUGCAGACUGCGCCCGGAGAAGCCCUGGUUCCACGUCAUCGGACGCGGGUUCGAUUCCCGCCACCUCCACCA